AAAUUGAAGAGUUUGAUCAUGGCUCAGAUUGAACGCUGGCGGCAGGCCUAACACAUGCAAGUCGAACGGUAACAGGAAGCAGCUUGCUGCUUCGCUGACGAGUGGCGGACGGGUGAGUAAUGUCUGGGAAACUGCCUGAUGGAGGGGGAUAACUACUGGAAACGGUGGCUAAUACUGCAUAACGUCGCAAGACCAAAGAGGGGGACCUUCGGGCCUCUUGCCAUCAGAUGUGCCCAGAUGGGAUUAGCUUGUUGGUGAGGUAACGGCUCACCAAGGCGACGAUCCCUAGCUGGUCUGAGAGGAUGACCAGCCACACUGGAACUGAGACACGGUCCAGACUCCUACGGGAGGCAGCAGUGGGGAAUAUUGCACAAUGGGCGCAAGCCUGAUGCAGCCAUGCCGCGUGUAUGAAGAAGGCCUUCGGGUUGUAAAGUACUUUCAGCGGGGAGGAAGGUGUUGUGGUUAAUAACC
rnacentral:rRNA from 1 species